CGCUUCAAGUUUCAACCACAGUGCAAACAUAAACGUAAGUCCUCCCUCAAAUUCCCCAAAGACCCUGAGUUUCAUAGGGAUAAUUGGUUGAUCAGCGAGUCACUAUUCUGUUUUAAGAAACUGAAAUUCUUGGUAAUAGAAUGCAGUUAGUCCUGUGAUCAGUGAUUUUUGAAUUUGCAUUCAUCUCAGAGAAGCGCUCUUUUCUCCCAACGAAGCAAGUCGUCGCAACAAGCGCUCUCUCAAAGAAUUGGAAAUCACUGUGGCGUUCAGUCCCCACCUUCUAUUACACAGGUAAUUUUCGAAGAAUACAAGUAGGCUUUGUACAGACAGUGAAUGCUUUUAUCCACUCACGAGAUCUCCACCAACCCAUUCAUAAACUCUGCCUCACAUUUAUGUCUAGUGGUUAUGAUGAUCAUUCUAGCGAAUGGGUUAAUGCUGUAGUGCAACGCAGAGUUCAGCACCUCCAUCUUUUCAUCCAUUUUAGCCAGUGUUGUGAACAACCCACUACCAACAUAUUGCCUACCAUCUUCACUUGCCGUACUCUUGUGAUUCUCAAAUUGCAUUGGAUAGACGUGAAACUGCUUUCCACGGUGGAUCUUCCCUUCCUUAAAGUUCUGCAUUUGCAUUUAUUAAAAAGCGGAUGUCUCGCUCUACUGCUUUCGGGAUGUCCUGUUCUUGACGAUUUCGAUGUAAGGGGGGCUCAAUUUUUUUAUAACCAUUCCGCUGGAAGAGAGUUUAAAACCUUACCCAAGUUGGUCAGAGCACAUAUUUCUAAGUGGAAUACAAAUUUUUUACUCGCGGUUAACAAUAUGGAGUUUUUGCGAAUUCAACAGAUGAAGAUGGAGCAUAUAGGCCCUGAUGGAGAAAGCAUACGCCCCUACGUUUUCCCCAAAUUUCAAAAUUUGACCCAUAUUGAACUUAACUACGUCCACUAUAUAUAUUACUGAUUGGUUGCAGUUAGUGGAAUUGCUCAAGCAUUGCCCCAAGCUUCAAGUUCUUGUCAUUAAACAGAAAUCACGUAAAAAAAUAUUAGAGAUAUCAGAGAGGGAUGGGCUCAUUGAAAUAGAAGUAGGAGAUUGGCGAUACCCGCCUCCCGGAUGUACUCUAUUAUGCCUAAAACGAUGUUAUCUUGAUUACUAUAGCGGCAUCAAAGGUGAGUUUCAAUUUGCAAGAUAUAUUAUGCAGAAUGGAAGAUCUUUAGAGAGUAUGACAAUAUGCAUUGGUACCGAUCUAAAAGAUCAUGAAAAGAUGUCAGAAAAACUAUUCUCAUGCACCAGAAGCUCUGCAACUAGUAAGCUUUCCAUUAAAUAUUAUCAAACUAGUUUUGGUAGAUUCACUACACAAGUAGUUUCUUAAUUUCUUCCU